rnacentral:lncRNA from 1 species
GAAACUGAAUCCCAAUUCAGUUUAGAAGAAGACUUGCCGAAUGGAGAAACUCAAAUCAGUCACGGAGAUGAGGGCUUCAAUCACGAUGGAGAACCAGACCAGUUCGUAGAAUCUUACACACAAGAAAGACCAUGGUGUGAGAUACCAUACUCUGAUCAAGAAGAAGAUCGCCAAGAGGAAACUGAUUCACAAAUCAGUUUAAGGGAAGACGAGUCACAUGGUGUAGAGACAUGGAGUCAUGAGGGUGAAUCUAACUAUGGUGAUGAGUCAGAUCGUGGGGAGGAAGAAAUAGACCACACCAAAGAUCAGCCCACACUAUGGGGUGAUGAAGAGGACUAUGAGCCACAAUAU